GACGAACGCUGGCGGCGUGCUUAACACAUGCAAGUCGAACGGAAAGGCCCUGCCUUUGUGGGUUGCUCGAGUGGCGAACGGGUGAGUAACGCGUGAGUAACCUGCCCCUGACUUUGGGAUAACCUCAGGAAACUGGGGCUAAUACCGGAUAGGAGCUCCUGCUGCAUGGUGGGGGUUGGAAAGGUUCGGCGGUUGGGGAUGGACUCGCGGCUUUUCCGCCUGUUGGUGGGGUAGUGGCUUACCAAGGCUUUGACGGGUAGCCGGCCUGAGAGGGUGACCGGCCACAUUGGGACUGAGAUACGGCCCAGACUCCUACGGGAGGCAGCAGUGGGGAAUAUUGCACAAUGGGCGGAAGCCUGAUGCAGCAACGCCGCGUGCGGGAUGACGGCCUUCGGGUUGUAAACCGCUUUCGCCUGUGACGAAGCGUGAGUGACGGUAAUGGGUAAAGAAGCACCGGCUAACUACGUG
rnacentral:rRNA from 1 species